UACAGAGGGUGCGAGCGUUAAUCGGAAUUACUGGGCGUAAAGCGUGCGUAGACGGUUAUGUAAGUUAGGUGUGAAAGCCCCCGGGCUCAACCUGGGAAUUGCAUUUAAGACUGCAUAGCUAGGGUGCGGAAGAGGGAAGCGGAAUUUCCGGUGUAGCGGUGAAAUGCGUAGAUAUCGGAAGGAACAUCAGUGGCGAAAGCGGCUUCCUGGUCCAGCACCGACGUUCAGGCACGAAAGCGUGGGGAGCAAACAGG
rnacentral:rRNA from 1 species